AUCCUUCUGGGUUCAUAAGCAUGAUGACUAGGUGUUUGCACCAUUGUGUGACAUGUGCCUCCCUCAAAACUUGUUAUGACCUCAUCACAUAACCAACCCAUCUGAUG
rfam:Canis lupus familiaris chromosome 19, whole genome shotgun sequence.